rnacentral:rRNA from 1 species
AUUGAACGCUGGCGGCAGGCCUAACACAUGCAAGUCGAACGAGUGGCGGACGGGUGAGUAAUGUCUGGGAAACUGCCUGAUGGAGGGGGAUAACUACUGGAAACGGUAGCUAAUACCGCAUACCAUCGGAUGUGCCCAGAUGGGAUUGGCUAGUAGGUGGGGUAACGGCUCACCUAGGCGACGAUCCCUAGCUGGUCUGAGAGGAUGACCAUGCACACUGGAACUGAGACACGGUCCAGACUCCUACGGGAGGCAGCAGUGGGGAAUAGUGCACAAUGGGCGCAAGCCUGAUGCAGCCAUGCGGCGUGUAUGAAGAAGGCCUUCGGGUUGUAAAGUACUUUCAGCGGGGAGGCGUUACCCGCAGAAGAAGCACCGGCUAACUCCGUGCCAGCCGCCGCGGUAAUUC